rnacentral:tRNA from 1 species
GAGGGUAUAGCUCAGUGGUAAAGUGCAUGCUUAGCAUGCACGAGGUCCUGGGUUCAAGCCCCAGUACCUCCA